UAGUAGCGCGCGCAGGCGGUCUCUUAUGUCUGAUGUGAAAGCCCACGGCUCAACCGUGGAGGGUCAUUGGAAACUGGGAGACUUGAGUGCAGGAGAGAAAAGUGGACUUCCACGUGUAGCGGUGAAAUGCGUAGAGAUGUGGAGGAACACCAGUGGCGAAGGCGGCUUUUUGGCCUGUAACUGACGCUGAGGCGCGAAAGCGUGGGGAGCAAACAGGAUUAGAUACCCUGGUAGUCCACGCCGUAAACGAUGAGUGCUAGGUGUUGGGGGGUUCCACCCUCAGUGCUGAAGUUAACACAUUAAGCACUCCGCCUGGGGAGUACGACCGCAAGGUUGAAACUCAAAGGAAUUGACGGGGGCCCGCACAAGCAGUGGAGCAUGUGGUUUAAUUCGAAGCAACGCGAAGAACCUUACCAGGUCUUGACAUCCUUUGACCACUCUAGAGAUAGAGCUUUCCCCUUCGGGGGACAAAGUGACAGGUGGUGCAUGGUUGUCGUCAGCUCGUGUCGUGAGAUGUUGGGUUAAGUCCCGCAACGAGCGCAACCCUUGACCUUAGUUGCCAGCAUUCAGUUGGGCACUCUAAGGUGACUGCCGGUGACAAACCGGAGGAAGGUGGGGACGACGUCAAAUCAUCAUGCCCCUUAUGACCUGGGCUACACACGUGCUACAAUGGAUGAUACAAAGGGUUGCGAAGCCGCGAGGCCAAGCCAAUCCCAAAAAGUCAUUCUCAGUUCGGAUUGUAGGCUGCAACUCGCCUACAUGAAGCCGGAAUUGCUAGUAAUCGCGGAUCAGCAUGCCGCGGUGAAUACGUUCCCGGGCCUUGUACACACCGCCCGUCACACCACGAGAGUUUGUAACACCCGAAGUCGGUGGGGUAACCCUUUUGGGAGCCAGCCGCCGAAGGUACCUA
rnacentral:rRNA from 1 species